AUGAUAGAGGCCCCUGUCUUGGUCCUACCUGAUUUUUCCAAACCAUUUGUUCUUGAAACUGAUGCUUGCAACUAUGGCAUUGGAGCAGUCCUCGUGCAGGGAGGCAGCCCAAUUUCCUUUUUCAGCAAAACUAUUGGUCCUAGAGCUGCUGCUAGCUCCACUUAUGAUAAGGAUGCCUUGGCUAUCAUUGAAGCUCUGAAAUAUUGGAAACACUACUUUGCAGCAUCUUCUCUCAUUAUCAGAACUGAUCAGCAAAGCCUCAAAUAUAUUCAGGAACAAAAGUUAACUGAAGGCAUUCAACAUAAGUUACUAGUCAAAUUACUGGGCUACAAUUACAGGGUUGAGUACAAGCAAGGACACAAAAACAGAGUAGCUGAUGCCCUCUCUAGAGUGCAGUACAAAAUAAACAGCCUCAUUGCAAGCACAGCUGUACCUGCUUGGAUCUCUGAAGUAGUUGCCAGUUACAACAAUGACACUAAGUGCAAGACCAUCAUGGCCCAAUUGGUCACUAACCCCUCUGCUGUAGAUAACUACACCCUAAAGCAGGGUAUACUCAGAUAUAAGAAUAGAAUUGUAGUGGGCAGUGAGACACAACUGAGGACCAAACUUGUGUCUGCAUUACAUAAUUCUGAGCUGGGAGGUCACUCUGGCCACAGAGCCACAUAUCAAAGAGUCAAACUCUUGUUCCACUGGCCUGGCAUGAAACAGUUCAUUAUUGACUUCAUCAAGCAGUGUCCAACAUGUCAGAUCAACAAACCAGAACACUGCAAGUACCCUGGUCUCUUGCAGCCACUACCUGUGCCUGACUUUGCUUGGUGCCACAUAAGUAUGGACUUUGUGGAGGGAAUGCCGGUUUCUCAAAACAAGGAUAUGAUCCUGGUGGUAGUGGACAGAUUCACCAAGUACAGUCACUUCAUUGCCAUGAAACACCCCAUCACAGUGCAGACUGUAGCCAAUGCUUUUGUGGAAAACAUAUUUAAACUCCAUGGCCUACCUUCUGUUAUUGUCACCGAUAGGGACAAAAUCUUCACAAGUCAGCUGUGGCAAAGUUUGUUCAAACGGAUGGGCAUUAAGUUACAUCUGAGUACUUCUUACCAUCCCCAAACCGAUGGGCAAACUGAAAGGGUGAACCAAUGCAUGGAGAACUACCUGAGAUGUAUGGCCUUUCUGCAACCAAAGAAAUGGUUUUACUGGCUACCCUUAGCUGAGUGGUGGUACAAUACAUCCUACCACACCUCACUAAAGAUCACUCCCUUUCAAGCACUAUACAACAGAAAACCCAAUAUGAUAGCUGAAGCAGCUCUUUAUCCACCUGAGGACACUGCCAACCUUCCCUCUGUCCUCACUGCUGAGCAAACUGCUGCUCACAUCAAAGAAAAUCUUCUCAGAGCUCAGAACAGAAUGAAGCACUUUGCAGAUAAGAAGAGAUCUGAGAGAACCUUACAAGAGGGUGAUAUGGUCUACUUGAAGCUCUAG
rnacentral:rRNA from 1 species